GGCCGCCUGGCGUAAUGGCAACGCGUCUGACUACGACUUUGCAGCAAAAACUGCGAAAAAUCAGGAGAUUGCAGGUUCGACCCCUGCGGUGGUCA